UCCUGACUUGCUUUUCCCGCCCCACUGAGGGCUUGCGGAGGCUGGGCUUUGGCUUCGGGAGACAGUGGGUUCAAAUCUUGUCUAGGAACUUCAGUGUGCGCACCUGUCAGAGAAGCUGGCACUAAUGGCUGGCACAGAAUGUAUCGGGAAAACAGAUAAGAUAUGGCAUGACUUUUCUGACACCAAGACAAAGUACAUGAACGGAAGUUAACAAGAGCAAGAAAGAAAUCCCUUGUCUGUCCUCAUCAGUCUCUGUUAGAAAGAUGGAGGGUAACAGACAAAGGACACAGAAAGGGAGACGUUAUAGCACCGUUCAUGAAGCUUCACAUACAAGUGCUCCCAUGUGGCAGUCCCAGACUCAAACCCAAGUCUUUGUGCAAGACAUCAAGUUGCAUGAUGCCAACCUGACUUCCCCCAGCAGACAACCUCACUAACGAUACUCUGGAGCCCCACCUCUGCAGAGCCCUGCCCCAUGAGGGAAAGAUAGAAACAGGCUGGGAGUAUGGACUGACCUGCCAACGCCCAUGUCCAAUGGAGAAGCAGUUACAGAAGCCAGACCUUCCACCAUCUGCACCCCAUACCCCAUAAUGAUCCUGGAUCCAUGCUCCCAGAGAGACAAAGAGUAGGAAAGCUUUUUUCAAAGGAGGGGAUGGGAUACAGAGCUCUGGUGGUGGGAAUUGUGUGGAAUUUUACCCCUCUUAUCCUAUGGUCUUGGCAAUAUAUAU